GCUGGGCAUAGUGACACAUGCCUGUAAUCCCAGUGGCUCGGGAGGCUGAAGCAGGAGAAUCAUCAAGAGUUCAAAGCCAGCCUUAGCAACUUAACAAGACCCUAAACAACUUAGUGAGACCCGGCUUCUA
rnacentral:sRNA from 1 species